rnacentral:lncRNA from 1 species
GCCCCAACGGGGCCACCGGCUGCGGGCAGCUGGAGCCGCACCGGGACGGGGGACGGAACCGGCCGGCUGCAGCCCCCCCUGGCACCCGCACCCCUCCACCGCCUCCGCCUGCGGGGUGCCCUCCUGGUGGGACACCCCGAUGGCACCCACCAAACCCACCCGGGGCCAGUGGGCGCGUGCCCUGCCCUGCCGCAAGGGUCCCGGUGCUGGGGCUGUGCCGUGGGCGGCGUGGGGCGCUGCGGGGGGCCCUCGCCAGCCCCCCUGCCCCACGCAGCUCCCCAUUGUCUGGGCUCAUUACCCGCUGCCUGCUCCGGCUUUGAACAUGAGCCGGGCUCCGGGCGGCAGGAAGGAGCCUCCGCUCCCCGGGGAUGGGGUCGAGGCAAAACCGCACACACCCCAGCCCCCCCCUUCCCCACCGCCCCCCGGGCACCCCGACACCCCCCUUGUCGCCCCACGCUGGGCCUGAGCCUGGAAGCGGGAUGGCGCCGGGGGCACCCCCUUGGCUCCAAAAGGAGCCCCCCCCAGCGCAAGCCGCCGUGGCGCGGGGUGCGGAGAGGCGACGGCCUCCCCAAAGCUUUGUGCCGAGCGCGGCUCACCCCAUGACUAAUCCCCCCGGCCUCGCACACACGCGGCGGGGCGGGGGGGGCUGUCGUAAUGGGUGGAAAUAUCUCAUAAUUCACGUUGGACACGGGGAUUACAGCCGUUCCGGCAAUAUUUGCACAACUGGUAGGAGGUUUGCAGGGCUGCGCCGCCCCAGACGAAGGCCAAGUUGGGGAGGGGGUGUCUGGGGAUGGAGGAGGUUUUGGGGGUGGCAGGUAUGGGGAGGGGGAUGCAUCCCGGGGGGGCGGGAAGUGGGGAGAAAGGGCUGUUUUCCGCCUUUGGACACAUGGAGUUUAUUAGGGAGGGCGCGUUGCCGGCAUGGCGGGGGGGGGUGGGGCCCUCGCCCCCUCCUGCUGCGCUGGGCACGGGGAGAGGGAUGGAGACCCCCAAAGCAGCCUCGUCUGCCAGAGCUGAGUGGAUCCUGGCCCUGCCCCGGAGGCUCCGUGCCCCCUCCCAACCCCAUAGCGCUUCCAGGAGCACCCAAAGGUGCUGGUGUCCCCCUCUCUCCAGCGUCCCCUCCUCAGAGGCCCUGUGGGGCGACCCCGGCGGGAAGAGGGUGGGGGGCAGGGGGGAGCCGUGUUUGGCGUGGGGAUUAGCGAGCUCCCAGAGCGAUGGUGGUCUCCCCCCCUUCCCCACCGGACAUGCAGGCAAAUAUUUGUGCCCAGACUUCGCAGGACAGCGAGAAGGAAUUUCAUUCUUGCGCCCACCUGCGGCUCGGCCGCCUGGCAUUAACCCCUUCACCGCCCCGCAGGAUGGAGGGGGGGGGGAAAUCCGGCCAGACAUCCCCCCCACCCGGGCCAAGGUGCUCUGCCCCGGGACGUGGGGAGGGCGUGGGGAGCGAGAUUUGCCCACAGAUGUUUAUUGGCAAUUCACAAAUGUGAAUCCAACCAGGCUCUGGGGGUGGGGGGGGAGGGGGCACCCAGCUCCCGGGGUCUGCCUGUGCUCGGGGAGGGGUCCCCCGCUGCCUGGCACCCCCAGAGCCCCGCUGUGCUCCUUUCCCUGGCCCCGGGGCCAGCUGGGCCCUGAGCAAACGGGGCUGUUUGCUCACACCAGGAUUAGCCGCUCUCUUUGUUCCUUUGACUUUCCCUUCCCUUUAUACUGGACCCUUUUAUGGGGGCUUCAAAGGGGGCUGGGGACCCCCCCCUCCCUGCCCAUGGAAGCCCAAGUUUGCUUCCCAUGCCCC